CCUCUCUCUCCAGCCUACGCUUUCUUUCUCUAACCUUCAGAGCACACCACCACGCUGCCACCGGUCACCCUUUCUCCUGUCGCUGCCGCCGGACAAACACACCUACCUCCGCACCUAGGGUUUCGUCAGCCGCCGCCGGACAAACGCACCUACCUCCUCCCGUCGUCGCCUCCGGACAAACGCACCUGCCUCCGCACCUAGGGUUUCGUCAGAAAACGCCGGACAAACGCACCUACCGCCGCCGCCGUCAGGUGACGGUGGAUUGGACAGAUCGGAAAAGCAGGGGAGUUUGAUGUUGGGUUAUAGGGUUGUGGGAAUAAGUUAAUUAGUAGUAAAAAAUCAGUGUUUUAUUAAGAAUCUUGAAACAGAAUGUUGUGUUAUUGACUUAAUCUUGAUCUUCCUGUGUAAAGUGAUGAGUGUUUGUGUUUGUUGAUUGAGAAAGAAUGUGAAAAGUUUGUGGGGUUUGAUUAUUUGAAUAAGUUGAGAAGUGGGAAGUUGGAUAUGGUUGCUAGACAACAAGCAGAUGAUUGGAUUUUAAAGUUGGAUAUGGUUGCUAGACAACAAGCAGAUGAUUGGAUUUUUAAGAAAGACAAAGAUUGGAUGAUGCAAUUGCUAGCUGUAACCUUAUCACUUGUAUCCAAAAUGGAAGAGACUAAAGUUCCUCACAUUCUUGAUUUAAAGGUUUGUGAAUAAAAAUAUGUAUUUGAAGCAAAAACCAUUCAAAAGAUGGAGCUUCUUAUGCUGACAAUGUUGAAAUGGAGGAUGAAGACAGUGACAUCGUUUUCUUUAAUUCAUGAUUUUUCACCCACCUAUAUCUGUUGUUAGAGAGAGGAGAUAGAGAGGGUUUCAGGUUAGAGAGAGAAGAUAGGUGUAUUUAUUGUUUUAUUUUUAAGUUUUAUACAAAAUGGCCUUAAUAAAAGUUUUUUUUUUGCAAAAUAGCCCAUGGAAAGGUGAAAUGACAAAUAUGCCCUCAUGUGCAAGUCACAUGACCAUAUUUAACAAAAAAAUCUGAUUGAGUUAGAGCUAAAGGACAUAAC